rnacentral:rRNA from 1 species
UACGAAGGGUGCAAACGUUGCUCGGAAUUAUUGGGCGUAAAGCGCGUGUAGGCGGCUCAGCAAGUUGGGUGUGAAAGCCCUCGGCUUAACCGAGGAAGUGCGCCCAAAACUACUAAGCUUGAGUAUGGGAGAGGGAUGUAGAAUUCCAGGUGUAGCGGUGAAAUGCGUAGAUAUCUGGAGGAAUACCGGUGGCGAAGGCGGCAUCCUGGACCAUAACUGACGCUGAGGCGCGAAAGCGUGGGGAGCGAACAGG